AUGAACGCUGGCGGCGUGCCUAAUACAUGCAAGUCGAGCGAACGGACGAGAAGCUUGCUUCUCUGAUGUUAGCGGCGGACGGGUGAGUAACACGUGGAUAACCUACCUAUAAGACUGGGAUAACUUCGGGAAACCGGAGCUAAUACCGGAUAAUAUUUUGAACCGCAUGGUUCAAAAGUAAAAGACGGUCUUGCUGUCACUUAUAGAUGGAUCCGCGCUGCAUUAGCUAGUUGGUAAGGUAACGGCUUACCAAGGCAACGAUGCAUAGCCGACCUGAGAGGGUGAUCGGCCACACUGGAACUGAGACACGGUCCAGACUCCUACGGGAGGCAGCAGUAGGGAAACUUCCGCAAUGGGCGAAAGCCUGACGGAGCAACGCCGCGUGAGUGAUGAAGGUCUUCGGAUCGUAAAACUCUGUUAUUAGGGAAGAACAUAUGUGUAAGUAACUGUGCACAUCUUGACGGUACCUAAUCAGAAAGCCACGGCUAACUACGUG
rnacentral:rRNA from 1 species